GACGAACGCUGGCGGCGUGCUUAACACAUGCAAGUCGAACGGAAAGGCCCUGCUUUUGUGGGGUUCUCGAGUGGCGAACGGGUGAGUAACACGUGAGUAACCUGCCCUUGACUUUCGGAUAACUUCACGAAACUGGGGCUAAUACCGGAUAGGAGCUCCUGCUGCGUGGUGGGGGUUGGAAAGUUUCGGCUGUGGGGGAUGGACUCGCGGCUUAUCAGCUUGUUGGUGGGGUAGUGGCUUACCAAGGCUUUGACGGGUAGCCGGCCUGGGAGGGUGACCGGCGACCAUGGGACUGCGGUACGGAGCAGACUGCAAUGGGACGCAGUAGUGGGAAAUAUUGCGCAAUGAGGGGGAGUGUGAUGCGGAGGCGCCGCGUGCGGAAUGCCGGCUUUCGGGUUGUAAACAGCUGUCGCAUGAGACGAAGCGGGAGUGACGGUACUGGAUAAAGAAGCACCGGCUAACUACGUG
rnacentral:rRNA from 1 species